CAUGUACUCCCUCCGUUCCAAAAUAGAUGACCCAACUUUGUACUAAUUUUGUACAAAGUUGGGUCAUCUAUUUUGGAACGGAGGGAGUAUAUC
rfam:Triticum aestivum genome assembly, contig: Triticum_aestivum_CS42_TGACv1_scaffold_527923_6DL